GACGAACGCUGGCGGCGUGCCUAAUACAUGCAAGUAGAACGCUGAAGAGAGGAGCUUGCUCUUCUUGGAUGAGUUGCGAACGGGUGAGUAACGCGUAGGUAACCUGCCUGGUAGCGGGGGAUAACUAUUGGAAACGAUAGCUAAUACCGCAUAAAAUUGAUUAUUGCAUGAUAAUUAAUUGAAAGAUGCAACUGCAUCACUACCAGAUGGACCUGCGUUGUAUUAGCUAGUUGGUGAGGUAACGGCUCACCAAGGCGACGAUACAUAGCCGACCUGAGAGGGUGGUCAGCCACACUGGGACUGAGACACGGCCCAGACUCCUACGGGAGGCAGCAGUAGGGAAACGUCGGCAAUGGGGGGAACACUGACCGAGCAACGCCGCGUGAGUGAAGAAGGAUUUCGGAUCGUAAAGCUCUGUUGUAAGAGAAGAACGGGUGUGAGAGUGGAAAGUUCACACUGUGACGGUAUCUUACCAGAAAGGGACGGCUAACUACGUG
rnacentral:rRNA from 1 species